CUCUGCCUUCCCUGUUCCAAACCUGAAGGGCCCUGGCCUGCCUCAGCCUGCUCCUCCCUACUAUCCUCUGAAGCUACAGAUAUCCCUCCUGGGCCUCAACAGAGAACUCCAUGUCUUCCUCGGAAUAAGGCUCGGAUGGAGAAUUCUGGAAGAUUCUCCUGAUCUACUGUGUGUCGUAAGAGAAAGAUGGAGAGUAAAAAACAGAUUCUGAAUCUGGCCCCAGUCACCAUUUGCUUUAGCACUGGCAUAAAGCUCCUUACAAGGGAAUCAAAAGCUCAGCAAGGAAAAAGAAAAGGUCUUAAACCUCUCUUCGAGCAACAUCAGUUGCUGUGGUCACAGCUGUAUUCCUGGGGGGACAGCAUGGAAAUCUCCUUAUUGAACAAACAUCCAAUAACAAAAUAACGGUAGCUUUUGAAGUUUACAUAUGAAAGAAAAGUCCGUGGUAAGGUAUCAGAUGAUUAGUCUCCAUGCCUGAAUAAACAAUUUUUGUUUCUUUGCUGAGGAAAUAAGCUUGUGUUCAUGUAGGCCACACUGAUUUUAAGGUCUGAGAGGGAAGAGGAAAAUGUUGCUAAUACAGCCAAUUCCUUUAAGUCUGCAACCUUAAGAGCUGUUCCUGAGGGUAUGUCCCACUGUACACAAGGAGCGUUUUCUGCGGAUAAAUAUAAUAUUGCACUGUACUGUACAAUUCUAUCAUUUGUAAUAGAGUUUAGUCCUAGUUUUCUUCGCCAACAUAUCUUUGUCCCAUGAAAUGUCUUCCUCUUAUAUUAUAUUCUCCUUGGAGUUAGGUUCCGUCAUCAGAUAGAAACCCUGAUCUAAUGUCAUAAAUAAGUUACUAUUGCAUCUGUUAGUAUCUAACAGACCAAAUAAUCAUUUGAUUUAGUAUAUCAGAACUUCCAAGUGGUGCAAAUUGCGUAUAAUUGUUCUGCUUGUGUUCAGUUUGCAUCAUUUCACUUUCUGGCAUAAUUUGGUUUUGUUGAUAAUGCUAUCUCUCAGCCUUUAAUCUUCUGUGUGUUUUCUUAACUCAAUUCCUAUCUUGCUCGGAUUUAUGUAACUAUGCAAUUAUUCCAUUGGAUGCAUGAUUGUAUUUAUUCAUUGUGAUAUCAUUCAUUUCGCUGGUCCUUUUCAAAUUCUUGCAUAUGUUAUUCCUCAGAUUAGAGGACUGAUUUUUUUUCUGCUCCAACUAAUUUUGC